rnacentral:lncRNA from 1 species
GGCUCCACCCCCACGGACCUAGGUGAGGACAGGCACUCCUGCUUUCGCUCCCAAAUGUUGCAUUUUCCAAGACCACCCUGUCCCGUCAUGCCCUCAUCCUGGGCCUAUAAAAACCAGAGACCCUAGCGGGCACACAGGCAGCCAGAUAUUGAGAGGAACACUUUGGCGGAAGAAGACACGAGUGGCUGGUCGAGAGCACGCUGGAGGAAGAGCCCACCGACAGACGUCAGCAUGCUGGCACACCAUCAACAGGCCUGGCAGAUAUUCGUAAACCACAAUCCUUGCAUCAGGAAUCCUACAGGCUAGUGUGAAGUGAGACAGAUAAACAGAUAAUGUUAUUUGUUUGGCAGUAACACCUAACCACAACGGGCACAUCGGAGUUGAACUUGGUGCUUCUGAGAAGCUAAUUUUAAGUUCCUGUGCAUGGUCUGAACAUUUGCCGGGCCCUAAAACUGCAUCUCAAUAUUGGCAGCCCCUUCCAAGUCUCCGGAAGGUAUUUUGAUUCAAAGGAAGCUCUGUUUGGACCGGAUGGUCUGGUGCUGGCCAUUUUCAUUGCACAGUGAGGCAUAAACUGUGCUAAGAGACUCGGGACAGACUGAGCAGUGAUGAGAGCACCAGCAGGGCCAGAGCACUGCAGACCCCCUUCAAGAUGAAAGCAAGAGAAUUUGAAAAGUCUAGAAAGAAGCUAUUUUGCAUUUAUCAGAAAACUGAGACUGGAAGAGGUGAAGUGACUUGACUGGGACCACAGAUUCCUAAGUGGCAGGAUGAAAUUCCAACCGAGUUCUGCUUGACUCCAAAGUCUGUGUUCUUUCUACUUCCCCACCCUGCUGCCCAGGAUCUAAAAGGUUCCUCUGCCCAUAUUCACCUGGGAGUACCUGCUCAUCUUCUGAGGUUCAGCUUAUCUGUAAUCCCAUUCCUGAACCCCCUCUUCUUCCCCACUGGUAGAACUGGCCUCUUCCUUCAUUGUGUCUCCACUAGAGCUUACAAAGUUUAUACUUUUAGUAUCUGUAGCACCAAUUAAACUUUUCUGUUUAAUUGUCUGUCUUUUGGAUGAAACCUUGAACUCCUCAAGAGGAGGGACUGAUUACCAGUCUCUGCGGCUUUGAACUGGGCUGAUGCAGA